UCGAGAAUUUUUCACAAUGGGCGAAAGCCUGAUGGAGCGACGCCGCGUGGGGGAUGAAUGGCUUCGGCCCGUAAACCCCUGUCAUUUGCGAGCAAUGGUUUUCUGUUAACAGCGGGAAACUUGAUAGUAGCGAAAGAGGAAGGGACGGCUAACUCUGUGCCAGCAGCCGCGGUAAUACAGAGGUCCCAAGCGUUGUUCGGAUUCACUGGGCGUAAAGGGUGCGUAGGUGGUAGGGUAAGUUCGAUGUGAAAUCUCCGGGCUCAACCCGGAAAAGGCAUUGAAUACUAUCUUGCUAGAGAGUUGUAGGGGGGACUGGAAUUCUCGGUGUAGCAGUGAAAUGCGUAGAUAUCGAGAGGAACACCAGUGGCGAAGGCGAGUCCCUGGACAACUUCUGACACUG
rnacentral:rRNA from 1 species